rnacentral:rRNA from 1 species
UACGUAGGGUGCAAGCGUUAAUCGGAAUUACUGGGCGUAAAGCGUGCGCAGGCGGUUUUGUAAGUCUGUCGUGAAAUCCCCGGGCUUAACCUGGGAAUGGCGAUGGAGACUGCAGGGCUAGAGUUUGGCAGAGGGGGGUAGAAUUCCACGUGUAGCAGUGAAAUGCGUAGAGAUGUGGAGGAACACCGAUGGCGAAGGCAGCCCCCUGGGUCAAAACUGACGCUCAUGCACGAAAGCGUGGGGAGCAAACAGG